rnacentral:snRNA from 2 species
AGAUUUGAGGGUACUCUGACUGCAACAUCUUUCACCCCAUUGAUCGCCAGGAUUGAUUUGGUUGAUCUGGCUGAGCAGGCGGGUGUCCCCGUCCUCCCUCACUGCCCCAUAUGUGUCCCUCCUAAAGCUGCAUGCUCAGUUGAAGAGGACGAGAGGACGACCUUCUCUGAUAGAGGAGGACCACGCUUCAGUCAAAGGCAUACAAGUAUCUAUCUGGACUUCCCUGCUAGCACUUCCAAACAAGCUCAGAGAUGUUCCUCCCCUCAUCUGCCCGGGUUCAGUACCAUGGACAGCGCCCUCGAC